GCCCACCCGGUGCCGAAGUUUCCCCUCUUUGCUUCUACAGAUAAGAGAAGGUCUCGCAGCCCACGGGGGCCAUCUCCAUCCUCCCCGCCCACUCCAUCCCGCACUAAAAAAACCCGAGCCAUGGCAGCGUUCCACCCCCUGGUCGCCUCGCGCGUCCGCCUCACCACCCCGCUCCUCCCCGUCGCCGCGCCCGCCGCCGCCGCCGCAGCCGGGGUCUCCUUCCACCGGCGCCGCUUCUCCGCCAUCGUCGCCGCGGCGACCGCGCCCGCGGCCACCGGGUUCGACUUCAACUCCUACAUGGGGGAGCGGGCGGUGGCCGUGAACAGCGCCCUGGACGCGGCCGUCCCGGCCGGCGAGCCCCCCGCGGCGCUCCACGAAGCGAUGCGCUACGCGCUGCUGGCCGGGGGCAAGCGCGUGCGCCCGGCCCUCUGCCUGGCCGCCUGCGUCGUGUCCGGCGGCCGCGAGGCCUGGGCGAUGGCCCCCGCCGCCGCGGUCGAGAUGGUGCACACCAUGUCGCUCGUGCACGACGACCUCCCCUGCAUGGACGACGACAACCUCCGCCGCGGCAAGCCCACCUGCCACGUCAUGUACGGCGAGCCCAUCGCCGUGCUCGCCGGCGACGCCCUGCUCGCGCUCGCCUUCCAGCACAUGGCCAGCGUCGACUCCUACCCUCCGGAUGUCGACCCCGCCAAGCACACCGCCCGCGUCGUCCGGGCCAUUGGUGAGCUCGCGCGCUGCAUCGGAUCAGAGGGCCUCGUCGCCGGCCAGGUUGUUGAUCUGGAGAUGACUGGCUCAACUGAGACUGUACCACUUGACCGCCUUGAGUACAUCCAUCUGCACAAGACUGCUGCCUUGCUUGAGGCCUCAGUGGUUAUUGGAGCAAUCAUCGGGGGUGGCUCAGAAGAGCAGAUUGAGCGGUUGCGCAAGUACGCGAGAUCAAUUGGGUUGCUGUUCCAGGUGGUUGAUGACAUUCUUGAUGUGACCAAGUCAUCAGAGGAGCUAGGGAAGACAGCUGGGAAGGACUUGGCGAGUGACAAAACGACAUACCCCAAGUUACUAGGGUUGGAGAAGUCACGGGAAUUUGCGGAGAAGUUGCUUUCUGAUGCAAAGGAGCAACUUGCUGAUUUUGAUAAAGAGAAGGCAGCACCGCUAUUGUACUUGGCCAAUUAUAUUGCCUAUCGGCAGAACUAAGGUGAUGGUUAUUCUGUUGUUUGUUGUUGAUCUGUAACUUUGUAAGACCAUCAAGUCUGGGAUUUGAGGAAUAUCUGAAUUCUUCCCCUCAUAUAUACUAGUUUAGUUUUCUACCGUUGUGUCAUGAGAAUAUUUAGGUGACAAAUGCCACAUGAGUUAGGUGGCAAAUACCAAUGUCCCAUUGAGAUAGCCAAGACAUUAUAAUGGGAAUCAGCCUUUAUGUCCUAUACUGUCUGGAUGAUAAUAAAUCAAUUGAUUUCGAAAGAA
rnacentral:rRNA from 1 species